CAUGUGGUCACAUCCACCUGAACAGCAGGCCAGGCGGUGAAGCCAGAAUUCAAACCCAGACCUGCUGGGCUCCAAGGCUGUAUCGCUAAUCCUACGCUAGAUAGAACUUAUUCUGGGCUUGAAGACCAUGAAACUUCAUCUUUGUGUCCUGGGAACAGAUGUGCAGUAGGAUGACAUCUAAACAGGCAAAACGGAAAGCCACUGUCUACACUGCAGCUGGUCUGUUUUCUAAUUCCCCAUUCUGGAAUCAGAAAACAGAAACUGAGGCUUCUGAAGAAUUAUUUUGUCAUCACACACACAAAGGACUGAAGGAAAAAAGAAUAGUCUGCUUGUAAAGGCUCAACAAUAUGAAGCUUUAUACAGGAGUCCUGUCUCGAAUUUAAGGCACAGUAUUAUACAAGAACCCAUAUUGUGCACAAUAACUAAGUUCUCUGUCCACACGUCACUGUGCAAGGAUAAUGGGUGGAUUCAUCAGCCACUGAGGAAUGCUGGAAUGUCAAGGAGGCCUCCAGCAUCCUCUCUAAUUAGCAAAGGAAUCAUUAAAUUGUCCAGGCAACCUACCAUCGGGGAGAUGUUUAAACUGUCUUAUGCCAUCCACCCACUUUUCACAGGUUUUGGCAAAGUAGUCAUAGCCAUAAAGGGCUUCGAGAGGCUUCCGUGCUUUCUCACUCCAUUUAGAAACAUCUCGGAUACCUGGAAAACAAAAGCGCGGCCUGGACUGGUUAUGUUUCACACCAAGGCAGCAUCUUCCCAUCCCAAGCCCCAGCCAUCUCAGGCCUCACACCCCGUUCCGCCUGCUGGAAAGGCUUCCCCUGCUGUCUGAAUGCUCUCUUGGAUGCCACUGGGUCUCCCUGCCCACCACCUGGGCCCUCCUCUCCAUCUCCUCUGCUGCACACUUCCUCUGUCCGGCCGGGUUCCCUGCCUGUGUGACUGUGCCUGCUGUCCAUUUAGGGCAUCUGCCCCAAGGCUCACACCUGCGGCCCAAGCCUCUGCCUCCCCUAGAAUGGGCCCACGGCAAACGCUUAUCAAAUAGAGGCAAUCAGACCCGCACUGAGCUCUUCAUGUUACAGGUGUGAGAUAAAAGAAAACAUUCCCCUAAGUGAGGUCACCUGAGUGAGAGCAGCAUUGUGUAAUCCAUCGGUAUCUGGAGGGAUUGGUCCAGGAGCCCCGCAGAUUCCAAAAUCUAUGGGUGUUCAGAUCCCUUCUAUGAUGUGACAGACGACUUGUGCAGAACCCGCGCACCCACCCCCCCACAGACGCUGAGUCACUGCUGAAUGACUUGCCAUACUCAAGGCAAUGCAAGUGCUGUGGAAGUGGCUGUGGUAUUGUAUUGACUGGUGCACAGUGGUAAGAAAGAGUCUGUCCACACUCAGUCAGACUCUUAAGUGUAGACUUAAUUUUAAAAAGUAUUUUCAACCACGACUGCUUGAAUGCAUAAAUGCAGAACUCAUGGGUUUCAGUAGAGGGGCAGCACAUUCAUAAAGCAGUCUUUUUUCUGGCACAUUGAGAAACAUAAAAUUACAAGUUCUGCUACAGAAGAAACAACAGUUCAGAACGAAUCCACAAAGGCAGUGACUCAGCUCCUAGCGCUCUCGAGCUCAUAAAACGUUGCUUACCAAGUGCUCUUAGAGCUUCUGCUAGAGGACAGGCCCGAGAGGAAGAGGACACUGCCCAUGUGAACUCACAUCAAAGAACGCCCCACGCAGGGUCUGGAUGGGGUGGCUGGACUCCACGCGCUCUUACUGCAUGGAAAUAACUGAAUGGAGGGAAAACUGCUGUGUGUACAACUGCUUCUGAACAGGGUGGGCCCUGCAACGGAAGGGAGCCUGCUUCACUUCCAUGGGUUCGGCAUUCAGAGAGUACUGGGACUGAAAUGAAGAAACUCGCCGCUCAUCACUAGUUAGUGAACACACCGGUAAACCCCGAUCAAAGCCGGCCGUGACUGGUUACCACUGACCCAACUUGACUGCGACCAGGUCCUCACGGUCCAGGGUGGAACUCACACAGCACCUGCGCACAGAGGCCCCUUGUCCACAACAGACACACGCCAGACGCCCUGGAUCCCGAAGCCUCGACAGUCCUGAGCCCUGCUAACACAGGCAGGCUGCUGUCACCUGUAUGCACCAGCUCUGAUAAAGCCUAAUGUACUGCUGCCUCAUAAGGGACUCUCCUACGAGGACAAACAACUGAAAAGAAAAAUCAAACCAAACCCCAAAAGAAACAGAAGGAAAAAAUCCUGACAAUCGGAACAGAGACUGAAGAGUGCAGACAGGCUGAAGAGCGGCCUUACAAAAGCAGGUGACCCACAGGCUGCAGGCUGCUGGCCCCUGCUCUACUGUGGGUAACCUCCGCCAAAGCCUGAGGCACCACCCCAAAAUGUACAAACAGCAUGAAAAUUCUUGCAAUCAAGAUGGAAGGUUUCCUGUUUGAACUGCUUUACACUCGCUUGCUUUAAACGAGGUCAUGAGUAACACCCCGUCCCCCGCCCCUCGGCUUCGCUAGCAACGGCCGUGAUGCAGACACUGCUUCUCCUGAGCGUUUCCUGAGUCAUAGGAGUGUCGCAUCUAGAAAUAGAAAGGCUGGAUAACUGAGCUCCUGUUGUGAGGGAGGACUCCUUAUUCUUCCGACCUCACUGUCAAGAGCUGGAAGAGGCUGAUCCAUGACUCAACACAGAUCACAACCAGGGGCUGGGGGGAGCACGGAGCACCUGGCCUCACGCACCUUCGGGCAGCAGAACCUACCCAGAUAGAUCCUCUCGUCCUCGUCGGUCACGUAGGUGUUUGCUCCCCAGAUCACCAUCUUGCUGAUGUACGACGGGUACCUGGCCGCGGCGACGAGCGCGGUGAUGCCACCGUCGCUCCACCCCAGCAGGGAGACCCUCUUGAACUUCAGCGCCUGUGACGGUACAGCGAGACAUGGCAGGGUUAUAGCACUCCUUCCUGGGGCCUGGGAGGCGGUGAUGAGCAGAGUCGUGCGGGCUGGGUCCGGGGUAGCCUCAGGAAUAACCGCACUGCUUGCCAACACAGCACAGCGCUCGCUCUCGCUUAGCUUUGGUACAAGGGGAACCAUGGGGGGAACUUGAGUGCUGGGCACUGAUGAUGGUGAGGGAACCGCAGCUUCCACUUGGUGAAAUGUCAAGGAGUAGCUCCGUGGCCAUUACUAGCACCUGGACAGGAACAUCGUGCACCUACACCUGUGUGCGUGCGCACGCCUGAACAGGGCUCCAGGAGCAAAGCAUGCAGCUCAAGGGACUGCACAUCUGACGGUGAAAUGACACCAGGCAUCCAGUGAAGCCACCGAGUGCAACUGCGGGAAGGAAGAGAACACCAACCUCGGGAAGCUGUGUAAGUCCCUGGGUGAAUCCAGGGGGACCCGAGUGUGUCUGGCCAGGAAAACAGACAAAGGGGACAUCAGUGAGAUGCUGCCAUGGAGAGAACUAAAAUAAAAGUUAAAGAAUUAGCUAACAUAUUGGGGACCGCAAAUUUGCAAGAGCUAAUUCUGCAGAUUUCCCAGGGAUAAAUGGAGGCUUGGGAUUACAGUAUCGCCCUCCUGAGACUUCCCAUUAACUCUUCUCUCCCACCCACUAAAAUAACUAAAAUGAGAAAGCACACCCCACAGUAAGCCCUUUUUUGUGUAAGAUCAUCUCUGUCCUCUUUGAGUUAUUCCAGGAUUAUCUGCUGCCUGUGGUGUCAUCGACCUCUGAAUCUUCAGGACCUGGAACCUCCCACUAGCCCCUGCCAGCACUGUAUACACCCACUGCACUGUCCACACCCAACAGACAGCGCUGGUUUAGAGUCACUGGGUCUUCGCCCGGCCUGAGGCACUGACCUCCCCGCCCCCAUCAUGCAUUGCUGUAUUUGUCUGUUUAUUAUUUAUCCUUUGCUGUACCCUACAUAUAGGAAGUUGGGGACCUUGGCCAGGUCCCCAGGAAGAUAGUACAAUGUAUUUGUUGUAGGCAUUACACACUGGUGGAAGCACUAUGGGUAAUAGUUGUCUCUCGGUGAAUAUUUUCACCUUCUACAAUACAACACGCCGUCUCCUAAGUUCAUAUGGAACUGUCACACACAUGCACCGGGAGACAGGGUCAGCAUGUCCACAGCAACACUGAAACAGCAAAAACACCAGAACUGAAGAGUCUGCAAGUAACAGAAUGUCCACUGCCCUCCUGUGUGACAGGAGUCCCCUGGUGUCACCUUUCCAGAGAGAAAGAAUCACAGAAAUGAAGCCAAAUAAAUGAAGAGACACCCAGCCACCCUUCCCCUGAGCACUUCUGUAAGACCCACCUUCAUCAAAUCCACCGCAUCUUUUGCAUCUCUUUCAAAAAAGUCCAGUGGAAAAUCUCGAUCUGGGGGCCUGGAAUGGCCGUAUCCUCGGGGGUCCCAGGCAACCACUGUGAAGAGCUUCUUACUUAGGCUCUUAAGUUGAGGUGCAAAAUCUGUCUCGCCACUUCCUGAAAACAGACAUUUGGUUAUUUUUUUUUUCUCUUGUCUUUUCUUUUUCUCUCUUUUCAGUCUUUUUUUGAGACAGGGUCUCACUAUGCAGUCCAGGCUGGCCUUGAAUUCACUUUGUAGCCAGGCUGGUCUCAAACUUGCCACCAGCCUCCUGCCUCAGCCUCCCAAGAGUGGGGAUUACAGUUGUGCGCCACCAUGCCUGGCUUGGUUAACUCUUGUGAAUGCUUUCAUUGUAUCGAACACAGCAGAGUAAAACAAAAG